rnacentral:rRNA from 1 species
CGUGUAGGCGGUCGGGUAAGUCAGAUGUGAAAGCCUUCCGCUCAACGGAAGAAGUGCAUUUGAAACUGCUCGGCUGGAGUACGGGAGAGGAGAGUGGAGUUCCCGGUGUAGAGGUGAAAUUCGUAGAUAUCGGGAGGAACACCAGUGGCGAAGGCGGCUCUCUGGUCCGAUACUGACGCUGAGACGCGAAAGCGUGGGGAGCAAACAGGAUUAGAUACCCUGGUAGUCCACGCCGUAAACGAUGGGCACUAGGUGUAGGAGGUAUUGACCCCUUCUGUGCCGAAGUUAACGCAUUAAGUGCCCCGCCUGGGGAGUACGGCCGCAAGGCUAAA